rnacentral:rRNA from 1 species
CCUACGGGAGGCAGCAGUGAGGAAUAUUGGUCAAUGGACGGGAGUCUGAACCAGCCAAGCCGCGUGCGGGAGGAAGGCACAGAGAAUUGUAAACUGCUUUUGUACGAGGAUAAACACCGGGACGUGUACCCGGAUGAGAGUAUCGUACGAAAAAGGAUCGGCUAACUCCGUGCCAGCAGCCGCGGUAAUACGGAGGAUCCGAGCGUUAUCCGGAUUUAUUGGGUUUAAAGGGUGCGUAGGCGGUUUGAUAAGUUAGAGGUGAAAUGCCGGGGCUCAACCCCGACACUGCCUUUAAAACUGUCGGUCUAGAGUAUAGUAGAGGUAGGCGGAAUGCACGGUGUAGCGGUGAAAUGCAUAGAGAUCAUACAGAACACCGAUUGCGAAGGCAGCAUACCAACUCCUCUCUGACGCUGAGGCACGAAAGCGUGGGUAGCAAACAGGAUUAGAUACCCCGGUAGUC